UCUUCGAUGAGAUUGGUUCCCUAUGAAAAUUGUAUUAUACUGAAAGCUACUAAAACAUGGAUAGCUCUUGACACAUUUUGCUUGCAGUGCAACUAUAUAAGCCUCUAGAAAUUACAUUUCUACAUUCUUGAUAAAUAUCUUCAGGUUUAUAAAGCCUUGGAAAUUUGACACUGGGAACUGGGAAGGUGAUCCAAAUGAGGGCUAUAAGAUGCAUGUAUAUGGGAGGCCAAAGAAGGGAAGGCAUAUCAGUAGGCGAGAGGAAUAUCAAAGAGAUUGAUAGGUGCAGAAUGGAGGGGACACUCGGACUGGUGCUCCAUCGGCAUGGCAUACGCUGAUACAUGUUAGCGUGGGAUGUUGCAAUUGUGUGUACUCUAUGACACUAUGUGUGCCUCGAGUGCGACGAAACCUCACCUUGGCUCGCUGUGCGAGUCACCUUGUGAAUGAAUAAUUGAAUAUAAUUUGAUUGUA